AAGCAGCGUUUAGUGACCAAUGAAGUAGUGAGAGUAAUAGCCAUGACAGAGAGAGAGUGAGAGAAAGUGAUGACAAUGAGAAAGAUGAAACAAAGUGGCAAAGAGAUCAUCGUAUGAAUGAGAAAGGAAGGGGUGAUAGAUAAAUAAUGAAGAAAGGAGUGAAAAAGCUG